UCUGAUUUCAGGAAACGUGGUCGCGCGGGUCGCUGACCGAGAUGUCUGGGUGCGACAAAGAUUGCGCCCAGAUAAACAAGUCAGACUCGCACUCGGUAGUGAGUGAUGGGCGACAAAAGGCAAGGCCAACACAAAGGGGCAUUUUUGUUAUCGAAAAGCCCUUGAAGCAACUAAAGCUAAAGAACAUGAGGUUAGCUAAAAAUCAUCUGGCUUGCUCAGAAGGUCUGUUUGGGUGUUUCGUGUUCGCAGGGCAGCACCUGUUGUACUGUUCUGCCUGUAGCCGUUUACCCUCACACCUCCAUUUUCAAAAACAUUUUCCUGGCAUGGAGAAUUUGUUGGUGAUUUGGCUGGCUAGAGCAUCUACCAGAUAUCAGGAACAAGGGAAAGGAAGGCACCAAAGUUAAAGCUAAGAGUUCCAGUCUGAAUAUCUACUUUUCUGGAUUCUGGAAAAUUACAGUAUAAACAGGGUGAUUCAAAAAGAAUUGCACCUUGGCCACCCAGAUCCUCAGAUGUCUCACUUUGCAACUUCCUUCAGACAGAAUACCUCCGGAACCUCACAUCUGUACUGCACCUUCAUUUUUUUUCAACCUUCAAAAAAUGAAGAAUCUUGUCCUGGCUGCCAUUUCAGUUGUCAAAGUCUAGGUUUCAGGAACCGGACAUGAAGCUCUGUGUGACUGAAAUGAACCACCUGUUGUCUUCAAAUGGAAGUGAAGAAAAGGUCGAGCUUUUCCUGGCUCCUGGAGUGCCCUCCCCCACCGCAUGGUCUACUUGACAGGUUUUAAGACUUGGCUGAAGUGGAAUAGCCUCUGUGAAGACUUCCUUGAUGUCACCUUCCUUCUGGGUAAAUUAUCACACGAAAGACCAGAGGCAGCUGCAUCAGACAGGUUGGAAAAGUAUGCAUUUAUUUCUAAAGAGAAUGAACCUAUUAAGACAGUUUGAAAAAUGGUGCAAAAGAAAUAUAUACCAUCAAUCAAGACUGUGUAUUAACUUUGAGUAAUUGUAGUCUGAAAUCCACAUUCCUGGAGCAAAGAAGUGACAUACCUGCCAUAGAUCAGUGUAAACAUGGAGACAGAACAAUGAGAGCCUGUACAAUAAACGAAGAGGAAGAUUGGUACCAGAUCAAAACAUUUCCCUCAUCUGCCUGCAGUUUAAUCUGGGAAGAACUGGAAUUAAGUUCUGGACCACACCAUGUUUAUGACUGACUACUUAUUAAUUGUAUUUAAAUGUGUCAUAAAGUUAAAUGUGUAGUAAACUAUAUGAAUUUUAUUUCAUAUUUUGAGUUUUUUGAUUUAUAACUACUAAUUCCUUCUAUCAUGAUAAAGUUGUGGGUUGAAAGUACCCAUUCGAUAUUACGAAAGGUAAAUACCACAAUCGGUAGAUCAGAGUGGUGGUUACAAUCAAGAUUCUAGUGACCAAAGUCAGACCAGUUGGGUCUGCAGCAUGCUUUAUAGACUAGUAUCUCUGUAGGACCUGUUACUCUUUGAAUAUUUAUUCAAUAAUUGAAUAAUUCAAUGUUCAAUUGAAUAAUUCAGUAACUGAAGGUCUAAGCGUCAGGCAUUGUUUUGAUCUUAUAACCUUCUCAAGAAUCUAUGAAUUAAGUUGUAAUUUCUCCACUUAAGGAUAAUGAAGCUGAAGCUUAAGAAGGUUUAAGUACCUUCACCAGCCAACAAGAAGAGCGCUCAAGAUCCAAACCUAGUUCAUUCCAAAGUAAAGCUCGGUCUUAACUACCGUGCAGGUCUGUUUCUGUGCUACAUCUCUGGAUGAUUUCAUUUCAGGGCAUUUGUGUCUGAAUUGAGGAUAAUCUUUUGCAUCAAAUUGAUACAGAUUUUGAUGCUAAUCUGUGUAUCAUGAAUCAUGGUUAGUCACAGAAGUUAUUUGUUCACUUUGUAAUUGUUACACCUUAAACUCAUUGACUUUAAUGAAAUGGCUGAUAGUAAUAUUGGAGGCCUAAUUGUUAGCUUGGGCAGGUGGACCGCAGGCUUGGUAUUUAAUCACAUAAUGUGCCUUUGUGAAAACAGAACAGUUGUAAGACCGGCAUCAGCAAUUCCUGAGGGAGGAUUCCAAGAAGCAGCUAAGACCUUGAAAAUUCCCCUGGGUAUUAUGGAUUUCAUUUUAAGUGAAAAUGCAAAGCAAUUAAAUUUCUUGUAACUGAAUUCCUUAAUUAUACACAGUUUCUAUUGCUCAUUUUUUAGUUAAAAGUUGACCUUGAUUUCUUGGAAAUAUGUAAAAAUAUAGGUGCAAAUGGAAAAAGACUGGAAGAUAAUAUACAAGAAAAAAUAUUUUUGGUCUUAGGAUAGUAGGAGAGCUAGGAUGAUUUUCCCCCUUUUAAAAAUGUUCAAUAUUAUUGUUUUAGUUGUUUCCCAUUUUUAAAAGAAACAAAUGUAAAAUAAGUAAAACUUAUUUACUAUCUAAUGCAUAGAACAACAUAGUGGGUUGGAUUCCAUUUUACUAUUUAUGCGGUGUUACACAAGUCACUUAAUUCUAUACAUUAAUAAAUAUUUUUACUAAAUCUAAAAUAAAUAUCAUAGUUAGAAAUUUGAAUCCCUAGAUAUAUAUUUUAAAUGUUUUCAUCUCAAUCUUUCAUCAUUUUUAAAAUAGGCAUUUUUGGGGCUGGCCCUGUGGCAUAGUGG